rnacentral:lncRNA from 10 species
AAUGGAACUGGCACAACUGCUCUGUCUCCUUAUCUCUGACUUCUGCCUCCCACCUCCACUGUAGCCCCUAUCUCUUAGAGUUGGUUGUUUCCAGUAAUAAGGAGGAAGCAGCUUUAUCUGUAGAAGAACAUAGUUAGCCAAUCUUUCUCGUAACUUCCCUACUUACCCACAAAUAGUAACCACAAACCAUUUUUGUUGCUGUACAAAGGUUUAAAAUUGCAAUAGAACAUUUAUUCCCAUUACUUGAACACUGAAGUAUUCUCCUUGUGCAUCAAUGAGAAGAGAAACCAUCGGUCAAUAACAUGAAAAGUUACUGAAAGUAUGUGUCAAAUAUUAUUUCUGCACACUUAGUUUCUAG